GGGGUGAGAAGAGCCUGCCAGGCUGCUGCUGUGUGGAGAGAGCUUGGCCGAGGUGUUGGUGAGCGAGGAGGGCUGUUGGUAGCUGAGACCAAGAUCACUUUGGAGGGCUAUGACACCACCCGAGUCCAUUAAUGCGUUGCAGCAGGGGAGCUGUGGCAUGGAGCGUCACCGCUUAGGAAGCAGAAGUUGUUCUUGCAGCCACCGCCUCCUCCUGGGCCUUCCUUGUCAGAAGUGUCAGAAACCAUCCCCAGCGUGCGCUGGGGGGGCCGACCUAUUGGUCCCAGAUUCCUCACUUGGAGGCGUUUUUGAGCCGGUUUGCAGACGAUUCAAGCCCCCCGCACCCCAGCUUCCACCUCCUGAAAACCAUCCUCCUGGCAUCUCUGAAUUAGACACCCAGAGGCAGGGGUUGCUGCCUGGAAAGCUGUCUGGGCGAGGCCUUUCCUAGGGACGGCUUGCCUGGGAGCAGAAAUGCAGGAGCCGGAGCUGAGGAGCGCCCAGGCGCUUUGAUGAGGCCCCGGCUGAGCUCAACCCCUCAUUUCCUGCUCCUCACAGCUCUGUGCUUCGAUCGCCCUCGGUCUGAAUGAGACUGCGGGAAUCACCCCUGUCCCUUAAGCAGGGGAGCGGGCGCAUUUGGGAGCUAGCAUUAAAUUCAGCUUUGGAGUCUGCCUGGAGCGUGCUUAGGUCUGUGUGUGAAAUGCAGCCCCGGCUGUCACCUCAGGAGCGGUCCUUGGGGAGCGGGCCCGCGCUGCGUGUACCUGACAGCCCUGCGAGGAACAAGGCGGUGAUCUUGAGGGGGUUGUUGCUUUGCUGGGGCUAAAUGCAGAGUGCUGAGGUGUUUGAAUCGUUUCUAAGUGCC
rnacentral:lncRNA from 1 species